rnacentral:misc_RNA from 1 species
AGACUGCUUCUGCUAUUCCCCAACAUUUCAGUAUUUCACUUCAGUAAAGAUUGUAAUUUUGCAACGGAAGAGAAAUGUUGGGGAAUAGCAGAAGCAGUCUGGCAGCUAGUGAUGAAGUCUGUCUCCUUUAGAGGUUCGCAGAUUUUUUUUUGUUUUCAUUUUUAUCUAAUUUAUGCGAAGGGGUUUACAAUGUAUUGUGACUUCUCUGAUACUGUUCAUUGUAUUGAUUUAUGAGCUUCACAAAUUUCCUGCAUAGCAAUUACUCUUGGAAAAGACUUAA